GACGAACGCUGGCGGCGUGCUUAACACAUGCAAGUCGAACGGAAAGGCCCUGCUUUUGUGGGGUGCUCGAGUGGCGAACGGGUGAGUAACACGUGAGUAACCUGCCCUUGACUUUGGGAUAACUUCAGGAAACUGGGGCUAAUACCGGAUAGGAGCUCCUGCUGCCUGGUGGGGGUUGGAAAGUUUCGGCGGUUGGGGAUGGACUCGCGGCUUAUCAGCUUGUUGGUGGGGUAGUGGCUUACCAAGGCUUUGACGGGUAGCCGGCCUGAGAGGGUGACCGGCCACAUUGGGACUGAGAUACGGCCCAGACUCCUACGGGAGGAAGCAGUGGGGAAUAUUGCACAAUGGGCGGAAGCCUGAUGCAGCAACGCCGCGUGCGGGAUGACGGCCUUCGGGUUGUAAACCGCUUUCGCCUGUGACGAAGCGUGAGUGACGGUAAUGGGUAAAGAAGCACCGGCUAACUACGUG
rnacentral:rRNA from 1 species